rnacentral:rRNA from 1 species
CAUGGAGGGUGAGAAUCCCGUUCGGUUGACCUUAUGACGCUUUACGAUACGCUCUCAAAGAGUCGAGUUGUUUGGGAUUGCAGCUCAAAAUGGGAGGUAAAUUUCUCCUAAGGCUAAAUAUCGGCGAGAGACCGAUAGCGAACAAGUACCGUGAGGGAAAGAUGAAAAGAACUUUGAAAAGAGAGUUAAACAGUACGUGAAAUUGUUGAAAGGGAAACGAUUGAAGUCAGUCAUACCAACGGGAAAUCAACCUCUUGAGCUCGGUCUCGUGGGUUUUGAAGAGUUUCAAAGCCUUCGGAUUCGCGGGAUUGGGAUCUCUUGGUGUACUUUUUCGUACGGUUAGUCAACAUCGGUUUUGAAUGUCAUAAAAUGACUGGAGGAAUGUAGCUUCGAUCUCGUAUUGAAGUGUUAUAGCCUUUGGUAGAUGUGAUGUUUGAGACCGAGGAUUGCAACGGAUACCCUUCAGGGCUAUUCGUCUGAUCUCUGAUACGUUGCCUUGAUGUUGAAAGCUUGCUUAUGAUGUUAGGGUAUUACGGUCACAAGGUUAGAACGGAUUACAUUCGUUAAGGAUGUUGACGUAAUGG